rnacentral:rRNA from 1 species
CAGCAGCCACGGUAAAACGAAGGGGGCUAGCGUUGCUCGGAAUUACUGGGCGUAAAGGGAGCGUAGGCGGGUCGUUUAGUCAGAGGUGAAAUCCCGGGGCUCAACCUCGGAACUGCCUUUGAUACUGGCGACCUUGAGUAUGGGAGAGGUGAGUGGAACUCCGAGUGUAGAGGUGAAAUUUGUAGAUAUUCGGAAGAACACCAGUGGCGAAGGCGACUCACUGGCCCAUUACUGACGCUGAGGCUCGAAAGCGUGGGGAGCAAACAGGAUUAGAUACCCGGGUAGUCCCUGUCUCUUAUAC